rnacentral:rRNA from 1 species
GCGAGAAAACUUUGCAAUGUGCGAAAGCACGACAAGGUUAAUCCGAGUGGUUUCUGCUAAAGAAACCUUUUGUCAGUCCUAGAAACACUAGCGAAUAAGGGGUGGGCAAGUUCUGGUGUCAGCCGCCGCGGUAAAACCAGCACCUCAAGUGGUCAGGAUGAUUAUUGGGCCUAAAGCAUCCGUAGCUCGUUUUGUAAGUUUUCGGUUAAAUCCAUGCGCUUAACGUAUGGGCUGCCGGGAAUACUGCAUAACUAGGAAGUGGGAGAGGUAGACGGUACUCGGUAGGAAGGGGUAAAAUCCUUUGAUCUAUUGAUGACCACCUGUGGCGAAGGCGGUCUACCAGAACACGUUCGACGGUGAGGGAUGAAAGCUGGGGGAGCAAACCGGAUUAGAUACCCAAGUAGUCCCUGAGCGGGCUGGCAAGGCGCAU